UGGGGAAUAUUGGACAAUGGGCGAAAGCCUGAUCCAGCCAUGCCGCGUGUGUGAAGAAGGUCUUCGGAUUGUAAAGCACUUUAAGUUGGGAGGAAGGGCAUUAACCUAAUACGUUAGUGUUUUGACGUUACCGACAGAAUAAGCACCGGCUAACUCUGUGCCAGCAGCCGCGGUAAUACAGAGGGGGCAAGCGUUAAUCGGAAUUACUGGGCGUAAAGCGCGCGUAGGUGGUUUGUUAAGUUGGAUGUGAAAUCCCCGGGCUCAACCUGGGAACUGCAUUCAAAACUGACUGACUAGAGUAUGGUAGAGGGUGGUGGAAUUUCCUGUGUAGCGGUGAAAUGCGUAGAUAUAGGAAGGAACACCAGUGGCGAAGGCGACCACCUGGACUAAUACUGACACUGAGGUGCGAAGGCGUGGGGAGCAAACA
rnacentral:rRNA from 1 species